rnacentral:rRNA from 1 species
AGAUUGAACGCUGGCGGCAUGCCUUACACAUGCAAGUCGAACGGCAGCACGGGAGCAAUCCUGGUGGCGAGUGGCGAACGGGUGAGUAAUAUAUCGGAACGUGCCCAGUAGCGGGGGAUAACUACGCGAAAGCGUGGCUAAUACCGCAUACGCCUACGGGGGAAAGGGGGGAUUCUUCGGAACCUCUCACUAUUGGAGCGGCCGAUAUCAGAUUAGCUAGUUGGUGAGGUAAAGGCUCACCAAGGCGACGAUCUGUAGCUGGUUUGAGAGGACGACCAGCCACACUGGGGACUGAGACACGGCCCAGACUCCUACGGGAGGCAGCAGUGGGAAUUUGGACAAUGGGGGAAACCCUGAUCCAGCCAUCCCGCGUGUGCGAUGAAGGCCUU